AAUGAACGUUGGCGGCGUGGAUUAGGCAUGCAAGUCGAGGGAGAACCCGCAAGGGGGACACCGGCGAACGGGGUAGGAUCACGUAGGUGACGUACCCCCAGGGCGAGGAUAGCCACGGGAAACUGUGGGUAAUACUCGAUAAUCUUCCCAAUCGUGAUAGGAGGGGAAGCAAUGGGUGUGAUUCCACCUGGGGAGCGGCUUACGCAGUAUCAGCUUGUUGGUGAGGUAACGGCUCACCAAGGCGAUGACGCUUAGGGGGUGUGAGAGCAUGGCCCCCACCACUGGCACUGAGACACUGGCCAGACACCUACGGGUGGCUGCAGUCGAGAAUCUUCGGCAAUGGACGAAAGUCUGACCGAGCGACGCCGCGUGCGGGAUGAAGGUCUUCGGAUUGUAAACCGCUGUCAGAGGGGAUGAAGUAUACGGAAGCAAUCUUCUGUAUUUGACAGAGCCUCAGAGGAAGCACGGGCUAAGUUCGUGCCAGCAGCCGCAGUAACAC
rnacentral:rRNA from 1 species